UACGGAGGGGCGAGCGUUAUUCGGAAUUAUUGGCGUAAGGGCGCGUAGGCGGCCCUGUAAGUCAAAGGUGAAUCCCUCGGCUCAACUGAGGACUGCCUUGAACUGCAGGCUUGAGGCCGGGAGGGGUAGCGGAAUCCCAAUGGUAGCGGUGAAAUGCGUAGAUAUUGGGAGGAACACCAGUGGCGAAGGCGGCUACCUGGACCGGUCUGGACGCUGAG
rnacentral:rRNA from 1 species